AGGUUCCCGGCGGGAGCCUGCCCCCCAUUACCAUCCAUGUGGACCUCGAAUCAGGUAAGGAUACCCGCUGAACUUAAGCAUAUCA
rnacentral:rRNA from 1 species